UGGGGAAUAUUGCACAAUGGGGAACCGUAGAUGCAGCGACGCCGCGUGAAGGUGAAGUAUUUCGGUAUGUAAACUUCUAUCAGCAGGGAAGAAAAUGACGGUACCUGACUAAGAAGCCCCGGCUAACUACGUGCCAGCAGCCGCGGUAAUACGUAGGGGCAAGCGUUAUCCGGAUUUACUGGGUGUAAAGGGAGCGUAGACGGCAUGGCAAGUCUGAAGUGAAAGCCCGGGGCUCAACCCCGGACUGCUUUGGAAACUGUCAGGCUAGAGUGCUGGAGAGGUAAGUGGAAUUCCUAGUGUAGCGGUGAAAUGCGUAGAUAUUAGGAGGAACACCAGUGGCGAAGGCGGCUUUUACUUGGACAGUGACUGACGUUGAGGCUCGAAAGCGUGGGGAGCAAACA
rnacentral:rRNA from 1 species